CCUGGAGUUAGAGAACCUGUAAUAACCGGGUCCUAAUAAUGAAGAGACAGUAGACAAUCUGUGUGUGACAGCUGAAGCACUGACACAAGCUCACAGCUGACAUAACACUUGUUUUAGCAGCAGAACAGAGAACACAGGAAAUCUGUUAUUUUGUUCUCCAACAUAUCAACCAAAUACAGGAAACAGGAUAUUUCUAUAAUGAGGCCUUGAAGUGACCAUAAAACUAGACUGGAUCAAUAUGAAAACAGUCUAACAUUGUCGUGUUUUAAACCAGAGUUAAAACUAGACUGGAUCAAUAUGAACAACAGUCUAACAUUGUCGUGUUUUAAACCAGAGUUCUGGAAAACCUUCACAGAGCAAUUUAGAUCAGUACGACUCCUGAUUAUGUCUAAAUAUGACCAGAAACAGAACUAGUCCUUGCCUCUCACCAGUCCUCCCCACCUUCUCUCCUAUCUAUUAGAUGUAAAUGUUUUGUGGUGGAAUCCAUUGGCUUUAGCCUGGUCUCAGAUCUGUCUGUGCUCCUUGACAACUCCAGCGCGUUGCUGUGACAGAAUGGAGUUGGCAAGACAGCGCAGACAGAUCUGAGACAGGCUAUUGUGCGGUUGGAUCAGGCUGGAUAUUCCCCUCCACUCCGUUAGAUCAGGCGGAUUCCUCCUCCACUCAGUUAGAUCAGGCUGGAUAUUCUCCUCCACUCAGUUAGAUCAGGCUGGAUAUUCCUCCUCCACUCAGUUAGAUCAGGCUGGAUAUUCCUCCUCCACUCCGUUAGAUCAGGCUGGAUAUCCUCCUCCACUCAGUUAGAUCAGGCUGGAUAUUCCUCCUCCACUCAGUUAGAUCAGGCUGGAUUUCCUCCUAUUCCCCUCCACUAGUUAGAUCAGGCUGGAUAUUCCUCCUCCACUCAGUUAGUCAGCUGGAUAUUCCUCCCCACUCCGUGUAGAUCAGGCUGAUAUUCCUCUCCACUCCGUUAGAUCAGGCUGGAUAUUCCUCCUCCACUCCGUUAGAUCAGGCUAGAUAUUCCUCCUCCCCAAUCAGGCUGGAUAUUCCUCCUCCCCAUCAGAUCAGGCUGGAUAUUCCUCCCCACUUCCUAGAUCAGGCUGGAUAUUCUCCUCCCCCAGAUCAGGCUGGAUAUUCCUCCUCCCCUCAGUUAGAUCAGGCUGGAUAUUCCUCCUCCACUCAGUUAGAUCAGGCUGGAUAUUCCUCCUCCCCUCAGUUAGAACAGGCAGGAUAUUCCUCCUCCCCUCAGAUCAGGCUGGAUAUUCCUCCUCCUCCACUCAGUUAGAU
rnacentral:lncRNA from 1 species